GUGGUACUUUGCUCAUCAGGCAUAAU
rnacentral:piRNA from 1 species